rnacentral:lncRNA from 1 species
CUGGCCUCUACUGGCCUGGGAACCAAUCUGGUAGCUUUACAUCUCUGAGCUUUACUUUCUUUAUCUGAAAAAGUGGGAUGGUCAUGCUUGUUUGGCUAAUUACAGAGUUGUGGCAAGGCAUUAAAAAAGAAGUCAGAGCAUUUGGGUUUUUCUUAGGAUUCGUCAAAGAAACUGGCAGGGAAUGGGAAAGCCCCUUUUACACGCACACGCCCUCUGGCAGCAAGAGACUGUAUGUAUGUGUUGGCACGGAUGUACCACAAUUACCGAAGCUACCCACAGGCUCCUCUCAUUUCGGGUCCCUCGUGUCCUCGCUGAUCUAAAUGGAAAACAUCAGGACACCUUGCUUCCUGCCUGCUACCCCUGGACUCUUGCUCUCCAAGCAUCUGGAAGUGAAAGAAACAGUACUUUAGCUGUGCAUAAUGGAGCAUGCCUGCAAUUCCAGCGCCAUGGGAGUCUGAGGCAGAAGGAUUACAAGUUCAAGCCCAGCCUGAGCAGUUUAGUGACUUAGCAAGACCCUGAAACAAACAAACAAACAAACAAACAAACAAACAAACAAACAAAUAAAGUUGGGGAUGUAGCUCAGUAUCAAGGCUCUGGGUUCAGUUCCCAGUACAGAAAAAACAAAAUAAAACAAAC